AUGGCUCAGCUAAGCAAAUACCAGAUACCAGGAUCCCUGAAACAAUUUGAUUUUGGAGGUAGGAUGACAACACACACAGUUCUUUCAGGUCAACCAACCUCUCAGAAUCUCUCUAAAACUGAAGAGGCUGAUGCUGUUGACAACUUUCAGAACCUUUUCAACAUAUCCUCCUAUUAUUGGAGCACAUGGAAAAUAUUCAAGACUGAAUUUCCAAAGCUUCACCUGAUUGGCAUGAAGAAAGAAGUCCGUUUACUUAUUAAAACUGACAAAUGCCUGAGAUUCCUUCAAGUGAUGGGGAAUGAUGGACACAGAGAGAGGAUUUGCAAUAUUGAAAAGAAAACUGAUAAUUUAUCUGACUCAGAUAAGCAAGGUUCUCAUUACUGAAAAGGGGCCUGAGGUCAAGACACCGGAGCAAAUCACCCAAAUAAAGUCAUAUCAAAUUUGUAACUUUCUAUACCA
rnacentral:lncRNA from 1 species